rnacentral:lncRNA from 1 species
AGAACAGACAAGUGAAAAAAUACAGAUGUACAAACAGAUGGAUAAUCUAUAGAUGAAUGCAAACAUAAAGCUAGAAGAGGGUGCAUUAUAACAUUUACCAAAUUAUAACAUAUACCUAAUAUGUAUAUAGUUUGUUAAGCUGUCAUACAACCAUGAUAAUUAUGUCAAAGACUAGUGACAGAUGUCGGAAGGAAUAUUCAGACCAUAGGGUAUCUGUGUAUAUAUAUAUAUACUAGAACACACUCGCGAAAUCGCGGGCAUAUACAGCUUGUGAACUGUGUUGGAUGAUUUUUUUUUUUUUUUUUUUUUUUUUUAAAUAUUAUGUAUGGAGAAUUCCAUAAAAGGUAUCAAAAGCCCUCUCCCUUUUUCAGAAGUCCGAUUGUAAAUGUCAAAUUAUAUUAAAAAAUUUGCACCGCUUCAAACAUGAAAUAAAUGUAACUGCUUAUAAAUAAUAAAAUAUGCUUCUAGGACAAUCCAUCAGUGCUUUUUCUUUUAAGAGCCUUAUUGACAUGCAAAUGGUAGGAUAUGAAUCUUGUAUAAAUGACUAAGACCGACUAAGGCUAAUUUGAGGGGUGGUCGGAGGGAUCCCGGAAUCCCGGCUAAUGACAUGACAUCCCAAGAUGAAGAAUUUAAAGAAAUUCAAAUCCCGAAAUCCUGAAAUCUAAAAAUAUAAUACCGGAUGAUCGGGAUCCCGUUAGGACCAAUCCCCAAAUGCCGAGCUUAAAAACACCCAAUCCCGACGUCCCGAAAAAGGUCCUGCCCCCUCUAAUCUCUACCCUACUUUCAUUUUUGCCAAAUCCCUACUUUCACUUUCAACAAUAGAUUUGCAUGUCCCAUUAAUUGGCAUUAUGUUUUCUAGUCUGUGCAUCCGUGCGUUCGUUCGUUCGUCCGUCUGUCCUGCUUUAGCUUAAAGUUUUUGGUCGAGGUAAUUUUUGAUGAAGUUGACGUCCAAUCAACUUGAAACUAAGUUAAUAUAGUGCCGAUGUGACAUCCGUGUACUAUGGACACAUUAUUGUUUCCACAUGUUUUACUUAUUUUAAAUGCAACUGGUAUGAUACCUUAAUUCGUAAACACUUCAAAGAAAACAGUAGACAGAAUACAG